UUUUUUAUUCAAAAAUAACAAAGUUCUUGUAAGGUAAAUAAUGUAUUUAGCAUGAAGCAUGAAUUAUUUUCAUAUAAAUAUAGAAACUAGAGAAAAGGCUAUGCCUCUAAUUUUUAAGCCCUUAGGCUUAGAGAUUCUUUUGGUUUUCUUUUUUCUUUUUUUCUUUCUUUAAUUUUUUUUUUUUUUUGGAUUUUUUUUCCGAUUAUUUUGUUUUGGUUUUUUGAAGCAGGUGUUUAAGGUUUAACCUUCUUCAGGGACAAAUUCUGACUGUUGGGGAACUUAUUCUGCAAUAUAAAAAUAUCUUCAUGUUCUGGUAGGGCCUGGAUGGUGGAGCUCUGUACUGCCUUGUCUGCACUUCAGCCCCCGACCCCCUCUGAUUCUCUGUUGAAAGUGUGUCCUUUCUCUCUGUCUGUACAUGUUUACCAUGACGCAAUAAUUCGAGGGCAAACAGUAGUGAGUGUGUAUGAUAGAAUCAGGAGAACUAUGGGAGGCUGACUUGAGAAAACCAUUACCGUCAUUUGGUUCUAGGAAAAAGGCAGUGACUAAUUAUGCAAAUUCACCAGGAGAAGGGGAAACACGCUAAUGGGCCUUAUUGGAUGAGGGUGUGAGUUAGGGUACACAUGAAGGAGGAAGUGACACAGGUGUUGGAAGGACCAGCCCCAGACUUUUUCCUGUGAUGGCACCUCACAGGAGGAAGGAGGGGCCGGCCAUCCCUACCACCUCAGCACAUGAACCAACCUGGAAGUGAGCCCACCUAGAUUGUGAGAGCUGAAUUUAGACAACCGGACGAUGUCACGCAGACCAGAAACUCCUGUUAUCUUUGCCUAAAAUAAAUUAUUUGGGGAGAUCCAAAGAGAAAUCUGUAAAAGAAUGUGAUCUUCCACCCAUGGAGGGGAAUUUUAAAACACAAACAAAAACACCUGCUCCCUUGGCUCAGGAUAUGAUGCUGAGGGAGAAGGAGGGAGUUGGGGUGAGGUUGAUUUUUAGAAGUGGGACAGUUUGGGCCAAUGUGAAACCCGUCUGCCAGCACCAAGGCACUGUGAGAACCUCCAUCGACCGGGACAGUGGAAAUUAACUGGUGCAUGUCCCAAGCUUAUCUUCCUCUGUGUUGCUGAUGAGAGAACUUUAAAAAAAAACCUACACCUGUACAACAGGUGGGAUUCAUUACCUGAACCUGAAUACUUCCAGCCUAUCUGUUCAGGGUCUAGAUGGGAAUAAUGUAUUUUUGAAGUAGUCUGUUCCCUCCGUCUCCCCAAACAUCUGACACCCCAAAAGCCAUCCACAGCUGUGGAACCUCAGCUACACUAUGCUUAGUGUCAGCUGACCAAGUCGAGAAGGCCCUCACCUCAGUUCCCCACUCUCACCCCACCCCCAAGAUGAGCUUCAGACUUCCCUCCUGAAAGGCAGAGGUAAACAUUCAGGACCGUUUCUGGCAGGGGACUUCUUCCAGUUAAAACCCCCACAGUGGGCUGUCUCCCCUCAUUUCCUUUUUCUAAAGGAGCAAAGGCCUCUUUUAGAAAAUAAUAAAAUGCAAUGUGUGUGAUUUACUUUUCUGAUCUCUUUGAGAAAUAGAUAAAUAUCUUAUAAAAGUGUGUUCUUAACUCCAGAACCACUCUUUUUGCAUAAAUACCUCAUCGGGCAGCUUUCUAAGUGUUAUUUUCCUGAGUCUCCCUCAGCACCUUUUAGGAGCCACUGGGAGUCUCAUAGGGGAAACUUUAGUGAGGGUACUUUUUUCUAUUUUUCUUCUGUUUUUGGAGGCAUACACAUUAUGCAUAACCAAAACAAUGGCUCAAUUGUGUUUAACUUUGUAUCUUGAUUGUUGAGAAAAAAAAAAAGUAUCAAUGUGUAUGUGGCCAUUUGUAGUGAAUUCAUCGCGGAAUGAGGCUGUCCAUGUCUUUACCAAGCCAAGGGGCUGGAGGUACCCUCUUACUCCCUCCUCCAAGAGCAGUAGAGAAUUUAAGCACAAGCCUAUUUGUGAAAGAAUAUUUUGCUCAAGUGUAAUUCACUUUAGUCUUGGAAUUCCUUCCCAAACGUCAGGUGUUUCUUUUAGCUUCCAAACUAGCCUGUGUAUUCAUUAGUCUGACGGAUCGCCUGAGCACCAUUCAAGGGGUGUGGUAUUUUUGCUUUCAUUUCUCCUGCUAGGAGAAGUGGCAUUUCAUGUGUCAUUCCAAUAUCUCACAUACUCACAUGGGGCAGGGGGGAGGGGAAACGGGGAACUAUAGCAAUAUUUAAAGAUGCUUUGGAAAACAACCGUGAACACAUCAACGCCAUAACAUCUACCAUUACUUGCUGUUGGCCCUUGGACACAUUUAAGAGAAAGAGACGGUAGCUCUUUUUUCUUAAAUGAUAAACACAUAGACAGUUAUUUUUAUGCUACUAUAAUUGUCUUAUCUUUAUCUAGUACUGCGUGGAAAGGGUUUGCAUCAUAGAUUUUUCCCAGCCUUAUAAUAUACCAUAAGCUCCUACUUCCCUUCCCUCUCUCUAAUCAGUAUACUUUCAAGAGUUCUUUGGUAAAGCUCUCUCUGAAACGAAAAUGAAACAAACCCACAUUUAGAUGGUGGUAUGAGAAAACCAUUGCCGUGACAACGGUGGCAGGUUUCAGUCUUGGGGCUGAGUUUUUAAGAAAGAAUGUGUCAGAGGCCUUUCCCCAGAACUGAUUUUUCUUGUAGAAGCAUUUAGGGUGUCUGGCCUUUGCUGGGCAUAGCGGUUACCAUCACGGGGCAUUCCGGAGGAAGCCAUUGCACUGAAUGGCUUUGUGCCUGACGGACAGCUUCAGGCUGUGGGCUCUCUUAGAUCAAAAACCGUGCAGAUGGCUUUUGUGCCCAGUUCAGUCUUGGGACACCAGGACUGCUCAGCGCCACGUGCCACCGAUCACGUUUCAAAUACCCCACACCGCGUGUGUGGGCCCUUAGCUUCUCAUUGAAGGGCUCUCAGAGAAGGGAUCAGAGUUACGUACAGGUGACCCCCAUGGGAGGCUUUCCAUAUGGGAUUGGAUUAAAUUCAAUGUGACUUCUCUUUCCCUUUAAACUUGAUUCAGGUUGGGACUCAUUUCUUUCUGGUGGAUCACAGCUGCCCAGAUGUUGCAAUUUAUUUUUAUGUUUCUGUAGAGAAGUAUUUUUCUUUCAUCUUCAGGAUUUUUGCCACCAAAAGAACACAUUUGAACUCUGUGUCCCCUCUUGAUUGUGACUUACCAGUGUUGACAGUUAAAUCCUUAGUGUCGUAGGUCCCAGCCCUCCAAUACGAUAUCAAACACUGUUAUGCACAUAAUGCAGCACUGUGAUCUAAUUUAAAUAAUACUUUUUUAUUAUUUAUACUACUAUAUAUAAUAUACAUCAACACUUUUGCUAUAUAACCUAAGUGAUAACCCUCUUUUAGUUACCUGCCAAACUCGGGACUUUGGUUUAUAUUGCAGUUAACACAGUUACAAACUUGUAAUGGUGUCUUUUUCUUUGUAACGGAAUGUGUAAAUCAAAGUAUAUACUUUGUGUGGUGUUCCUGUUUCUGGAGUUUCAUGAGGAUUUACACACGGCAUUCAGUGUUCUGUAUAGACCCGCCUACCUUUGUGAAUCAUCUGUUGACCCCUUCUUCCUUUGAGAGAGCACCAGCCGUGGUGGUUCACUCCUUGUUUUUUCUCUCUCCUACUGGUUAUCCUUGAAUUAAGCACAGACUCAUCAGCUCGGUUGCUUUAUCAUGAAUAAUGCGUGUGACCUUGCGAUUCUUCCACAGUUCAGCAAACAAGUGCUAGCUUCACUGACCAAAAAUUAAGGAAGGAAAAUACGAUUUUUUUAAAACGAUCCAUCUUUUAACGGCCGAAACCGAUGUGUCUAUGGUGCUGUAUCUUGCUGUCUGUCGUACUUUGAAAAUCAGACCUAGGUGAAAGAUCACUUCUGGCUUACUGUGAUACGUUCACAAGUACCCUUCCUGUUCGUUUUGUUAGCGUUGAAAUCAAGACUAUUUAUUUGGGAUAUAUACAACAGUGUUUUCCGCUGUAUUUCAUUUGCAAAAGUUGAGAACAGCCUUCCCUACCUUUUGCAAAUAAUUGAUAUUCCAUAUUGGAUUCUCAAAGACUUCGAUAUGGUGAACUUAUCAAACCUAGAAAUUGUAUUUCAUCCUUUCAUGACUGUGGCCUGAGUUCCUCAACCCCUCCCCCCCUUUUUAGGUGAAACUUAGCACAAUUUCAGUUAUUUAAACAUUAAGCAUUUCUUGAGUAUGUGUGUUGAGGCCAUCAAAGCUCAUAGCUGAUUCAAUAACCAGUUUCAUGCUGUGUCAUUCACACUCACUACUUACACUGCCAUGGUGAAAAUGUGGAGGAAAAAAGUAUCCGUGUGUGUCUGGGAAGCAUUAUACACUUGUACAUUUUUUUAUACUCUGAUUCUGUAACAUUUCUGAGUUCUGUUUCUGUUUUACAGAAAAAAAAAGUGAUAAAGCAAUCAGAAGAUCAAGAGGUUUACUAUCGAUGCUUGGGGUCAUCUGACCUUUGCUGGCCAAUAUAUCUACAUGGCCAAAUUAAUUCACUAGAGUAAUAAUUUUUCAAAAGCCAAUUUUUUUUCUGUAUUUUCUGUAUGAAACUGCCAAUAUCAUGAAUAGAAAGGGAGAACCAUAAAGGAGAAAGAAAGUGACGUGCAGUUGCGUUUGUGUUACCUAGAGGAGCAGUGUGGAGGCAGGCGCGAUCAGCCCAGCUGUAGGGACCUGAUGGUGUUGCUUUGGAGGGAUCCAUACUUGCAUUUUGCAUUCUUCAUAUGUAAUCAUAUUGCCAAAGACAAAACUAUUUCAUCAUUUAUUGUAAAUAACACUUUCCCCCAGACCUACCAUAACGUUUCUGUGAUGUAUUGUCUUCCAGUUGCAAUAAAAAUUACUGAGUUGCAUCAAUUGAAGAAAAAUGCCGCAUUGUCUUGUGUGCACUGCGUCUCCAUAUGCAAAUACUGAGCAGUAAAAUCGUUUCUAUUUCUUA
ensembl:lncRNA